CCUACGGGUGGCAGCAGUGAGGAAUAUUGGUCAAUGGGCGCGAGCCUGACCCAGCCAAGUAGCGUGAAGGAUGAAUGCUCUACGGGUUGUAAACUUCUUUUAUAAAGGAAUACAGUUAGGCGCGUGUGACUUUUAGUAUGUACUUUAUGAUUACGAAUCAGCUAAAUCCGUGCCAGCAGCCGCGGUAAUACUGAGGAUUCGAGCGUUAUCCGUAUUUGUUGGGUUUAAAGGUAGCGGAGAGGGGUUGUUUAGGAUGUGGUGAAAGGUUGGGGGUCAAACGUAAAAUUGAAAUUGAUACGGGCAGUCUUGAGUGCAGUUGGGGUGGGCGGAAUUCGUGGUGUAGCGGUGAAAUGCUUAGAUAUAACGAAGAACUCCGAUUGCGAAGGCAGCUUACUAACCUGCCACUGACAUUGAGGCUCGAAAGUGUGGGUAUCAAACAGGAUUAGAUACCCCGGUAGUC
rnacentral:rRNA from 1 species